rnacentral:lncRNA from 1 species
GAAGCGAGGGACGGGGCCUCCACGGCCGGGGGCGGGACUUCCGUUGGGGGCGCGGCGGCGCUGGUGCGCACGGUGUGUACCCGCACUGGCCCGGCCCUGGUGCUGGGAGCGACUGCGUUCCCGCAAGCUGGUUUUCUCUGCCUCCGCUGGCCCGGGACACCCUGCGAAGGGCAGGGCUGAAGGAGCGCGGCCAGAGCGGUUACAGGAAGCCAGACAAAGAGAGAGAGAUACUUAACAGGAGCUGCGACCUAUGGCCAAGGGACACAGCCAGCCCUUGAUGACCCAGCAGAGAGAGCCAGGGAAGAGGCCAGGCGCGGUGACUCGUGCCAGUAAUCCCAGCACUUUGAGAGGCUGAGGCGGACAGAUCGCCGGAGCUCAGGAGUUCGAGACCACCCUGGGCAAGAUGGCAAAACCCCAUCUCUACUAAAAUACAAAAAAUUAGCCAAGCGUGGUGGCACGCGCCUAUAGUCGAAGCUAGUUGGGAGGCAGAGUCAGGAGAAUCACUUGAGCCCCGGAGGCGGAGGUUGCUGUGAGCCGAGAUUGUGCCACUGCACUCCAGCCUAGGUGACAGAGUGAAACUCCAUCUCAAAAAAAAAAAAAAAAGAGCCAGGAAAGAAACUGCCCCCACCCUGGCCCCCCCAAAACUGUGGACCUUCUUGGCUCCUGCCUAUGCGCAGAUGGUGGAAUCUUCCAGAGCAGCGCCAAGCCAGAAGGAAGCAGGCCGCAGAGCUCAGCCUCCUGAGGCUCCAGGGCAGGGACAAGUGGCCCUGAGUGAGAGAUGGGGAAACACCACCUGCAGGUCUCUUCUUUCCCUUUGGCUUUUUCCUCUACACUUGCCCGGCCUCCAGGUGCCUCAUGGACAGGGGUAGGGGAAGAGGACGAGCAGCUCAUACGAGGGGUCACCGAGCCUGUGAGAGAACUCAUGCCCAGCAGGGGGGUGGCCCAAGAAGCUGUUUCUGUGGGAGGAAGCACCCUAGUCCAUCCCCGUGAAAGCCAGGGCCCCCAGAAGUGGGGAGAAAUUGCCUGAGACGGAGAGAAGGUGUCAAGUGUCAUGCUGGAAGGUUUUGAAAAGGUAGGUCUUGCCAAUUAAGCAAAACUCAUUCAGUCCAUCUGGAGGGGCUAGACACAGAACCAUGCCCAAGUCUCUGGGUGGUCAGUCCCUGGCCCCUGUGGUUCUCCUCCUGUAGGCUUCACUCUUGGGCCCAGACUGGCAGGGCGGCCUCUGUUGGCACAGGGAGGGCCAUGGAGAAGCGUGCACCUGCUCUUCCGUGCCUGCCAGGCAGCGGCUCAGCGGCCCUACCCACAGCUCAUAGGCUACAGUUGCUUAAGGAGGCACUCCUGAGUUGAACAAGUGGGAUGGAUGAUAAUUCUUCCACGGGACUCGGGGUGUGGGGGCGUCCCCCCACAUUCCAACACAGGCUACGACACGGAUGACCCUUGAGGACACUAUGCUAAGUGAAAUAAGCUCGUCACAAAGGACAGAUACUGUCUGAUUCCACUUAUAGGAGGUUCUUAGAGUAGGUACAUUUAUAGAGACGGAUAGUAGAAGGGUGGGUGGCAGGGGCGGGGGAGAAGAGGACAGAAGUUAUUGACAGUUUCAGUUUGGGAAGAUGGAAGCAUUCUGGAGAUGGGUGGAGAUGUUUGCUCAACAGUGUGAAGGUGCUUGAUACCCCUGAGCUGUACCCUUAACAAUGGUUAAGAUACAGCCAUUAUGGAAAAGAGUAUGGAGGUUCCACAACAAAUCAAAACUAGAACUACCGUGUGAUCCAGCAAUCUCAUUGCUGAGUAUGUAUCCAAAGGAAAUGAAAUCAGUGUGUCAAAGAGACGUCUGCACUCCCAGGCUCAGCACGGCACCACUCACAAUAGCCGGGAUGUGGAACCCACCUAAGCGCUCGUCGAUGGAUUAGGUGGAUAAAGAAAACAUCGUGAAUUACUGAAUACUCUGGAGCCUUAAAAAGAAGGAAAUGUGCCAUCUGCAACAACACAGAUAAACCUGGGGGACAUUAUAACAGUGAAAUAAGCCAGGCACAGAAAGACAAAUAUUGCCCGGUCUAACUUACAUGUGGAAUCUGAAAAUGUCCAAGUCACAGAAACAGAGAGUAGGAUGCAGGUUACCAGAGGCUGUGGGUGGGUAGGAAUUGGGGAGACAUUGGUCAAAGGGCACAAAGUUUCAGCUAUGCAGGAUGAAUUAAGUUCAGAAGAUCUAUUGUACAGCAUGAUGACUAGUCAAUAAUAAUGUACCCUUGAAAAUCUCUAAGAGUAGAUUUUAAAUGUACUCAUCACAAAAAAUGGGAUGUGAAUGAUGGGACACAUUAAUUAGCUUAAUCACUCUGUAGUGUAAACAUAUAUCAAAGCAUCAGAUUGUACAAUUUUUCAUUUGUUAAUUAAAAAUAUAUAAAUAUACUAUGGGAUUUGCACUAAUUAAAAAAGUAAAAAAUAAAAAUUGUAGGCCAGGCACGGUGGCUCAUGCCUGUAAUCCCAGCUCUUUGGAAGGCUGAGGUAGGUGGCUCACUUAAGCUCAGGAGUUGGAGACCAGCCUGGGCAACACAGUGAAACCCCGUCUCUACCAAAAACACAAAAAAUUAGCUGGGCGUGGUGGUGCGUGCCUGUGGUCCCAGCUACUCAGGAGACUGAGGCAGGAGGAUCACUUGAGC